CAGCCGUAAACUAUGCUCGCUAGGUGUCAGGCAUGGCGCGACCGUGUCUGGUGCCGCAGGGAAGCCGUGAAGCGAGCCACCUGGGAAGUACGGCCGCAAGGCUGAACUUAAGGAUUGGCGGGGGAGCACAACAACGGGUGGAGCCUGCGGUUUAAUUGGACUCAACGCCGGACAACUCACCGGGGACGACAGCAAUAUGUAGACCAGGCUGAAGACCUUGCCUGAAUCGCUGAGAGGUGGUGCAUGGCGUAGACGUCU
rnacentral:rRNA from 1 species